rnacentral:lncRNA from 1 species
GCUAAUAAGUGAAUUUCUAUUUUCUUUUUACCUUUAGAACAAACUAACUUUGGGUCUGUAAUAGCAUUUCAAUGUUGUAUUCAUGGGAUGCCACUAUUUGUUGUAGGUUGGUUAUGUGUUCAACUUUGGAAAGAUGAAAUUUGUUAAUGGAAAAGGAGGCUGCCAAGGUAAAGAGCAGCACACCCUCGUAGGCUGCCAAAUGCCAAGAUUCAACAACAACAAAAAAAGUGAACGAGGAAAACAGACAUAAACAAAUAUCUCCGCUGGAAUGAUGAUACCAUUACUCUUUUCUAGUAAUACGGGAAAGACAAUAUCUACAUGUUAAACUACAUUUACAAUUCGGAUAUGAUCUUUUUACUUUAAACAAGAACAUUUUGGUUAUAUUUAAUUUUCG